GACAGAGGUGCCGAGCGUUAGGCGGAAUCACUGGGCUUAAAGGGCGCGUAGGCGGACUAUCAAGUCUGGGGUGAAAUCCCGCGGCUCAACCGUGGAACUGCCUCAGAUACUGACGGUCUCGAGGGAGGUAGGGGCAUGCGGAACUGUAGGUGGAGCGGUGAAAUGCGUUGAUAUCUACAGGAACUCCGGUGGCGAAAGCGGCGUGCUGGACCUCUUCUGACGCUGAGGCGCGAAAGCUAGGGGAGCAAACAGG
rnacentral:rRNA from 1 species